AAGUUUGAUCAUGGCUCAGAUUGAACGCUGGCGGUAUGCUUAACACAUGCAAGUCGAACGGUAACAUGAAAAAGCUUGCUUUUUUGAUGACGAGUGGCGGACGGGCUGAGUAACACGUAGGAUCUACCGAGUAGCGGGGGAUAGCCCGGAGAAAUCGGAUUAAUACCGCAUGUGCACUUCGGUGUAAAGAGGGCCUCUUCUUGAAAGCUGCUCACUAUUCGAUGAGCCUGCGUCAGAUUAGCUUGUUGGUGGGGUAAUGGCCUACCAAGGCGACGACGUCUGUAGCUGGUCUGAGAGGAUGAUCAGCCACACUGGGACUGAGACACGGCUUACCAGACUCCUACGGGAGGCAGCAGUGGGGAAUAUUGGACAAUGGGCGCAACCUGAUCCAGCAAUACGCGUGUGUGAAGAAGGCCUUCGGGUUGUAAAGCACUUUCAAUAGGGAGGAAGGCUUGAUGGUUAACCCAUUGAGAUUGACGUUACCUAUAGAAGAAGCACCGGCUAACUCGUGCCAGCAGC
rnacentral:rRNA from 1 species